rnacentral:lncRNA from 1 species
CUGACCAAAAAGCAAAUGGUUCUAUAUAUGUUUAGCAUUCCGGUCGAGGUUGCCAUAGAGAAGCUUGAAAUGUGUCAAACAGAAAAAGGUAUGUCCCGGGAUUGAUCUUCUCUACAACAUCCUUUCUCCCAGCAGGAAGCCCGAAAACUCGGUUUCGUAAUUCUAUUACACAUGAAUAUAAAGCCAUGAAGCUUCUCCUCCUGAAUGUCCACACCCACCGUUC